GACGAACGCUGGCGGCGUGCUUAACACAUGCAAGUCGAACGACGUGGCGAACGGGUGAGUAACGCGUAAUCAACCUGCCCUUCAGAGGGGGACAACAGUUGGAAACGACUGCUAAUACCGCAUACUGAAGGAGGGGAUUGCGUCUGAUUAGCUCGUUGGCGGGGUAACGGCCCACCAAGGCGAUGAUCAGUAGGCGGGCUGGGGGGAUGAACGGCCAAAUUGGGACUUGGGCACGGGCCAGACUCCUACGGGAGGCAGCAGGGGGGGAUCUUCCGAAAUGGACGGAAGUCUGGCGGAGCAACGCCGCGUGGGUGGUGACGGCCUUCGGGUUGUAAAGCUAUGUUAAUCGGGACGCGGUACCGGAAUAGAAAGCCACGGCUAACUACGUGCCAGCAGCCGCGGUAAUUC
rnacentral:rRNA from 1 species